rnacentral:rRNA from 1 species
CACAUGCAAGUCGAGGGGCAGCAUGUCCAGCCAAUGGAUGAUGGCGACCGGCGGAAGGGUGCGUAACGCGUGAGCAACAUGCCCUAUACAGGGAGAUACACCAGGGAAACUUGGUCUAAUAUCCCAUAGCAUUCAUUGAAGGCAUCUUUAAUGAAUUAAAGCUUCGGUGGUAUAGGAUUGGCUCGCGUGACAUUAGCCAGAUGGUGAGGUAACGGCUCACCAUAGCAAUGAUGUCUAGGGGUUUUGAGAGGAAGGCCCCCCACACUGGGACUGAGACACGGCCCAGACUCCUACGGGAGGCAGCAGUGAGGAAUAUUGGACAAUGGAUGGAAAUCUGAUCCAGCCAUGCCGCGUGCAGGAAGACGGCCUUAUGGGUUGUAAACUGCUUUUAUACGGGAGCAAUAAGGGUUACGAGUAAUCCGAUGAGAGUACUGUAUGGAUAAGGAUCGGCUAACUCCGUGCCAGCAGCCGCGGUAAUACGGAGGAUCCGAGCGUUAUCCGGAAUUAUUGGGUUUAAAGGGUGCGUAGGCGGCCAUUUAAGUCAGCGGUGAAAUUUUGCAGCUUAACUGUAACAGUGCCGUUGAUACUGUUUGGCUAGGAUUUGGUUGUAGUGUGCGGAAUGUGUGGUGUAGCGGUGAAAUGCUUAGAUAUCACACAGAACACCGAUUGCGAAGGCAGCACACUAAGUCAUUAUUGACGCUGAGGCACGAAAGUGUGGGGAUCAAACAGGAUUAGAUACCCUGGUAGUCCACACUGUAAACGAUGAUAACUCGCUGUCGGCGAUACACAGUCGGUGGCCAAGCGAAAGC